rnacentral:rRNA from 1 species
CAGCAGCCACGGUAAUACGUAGGGUGCAAGCGUUAAUCGGAAUUACUGGGCGUAAAGCGUGCGCAGGCGGUUCGUUAAGACAGAUGUGAAAUCCCCGGGCUUAACCUGGGAACUGCAUUUGUGACUGGCGGGCUAGAGUAUGGCAGAGGGGGGUAGAAUUCCACGUGUGGCAGUGAAAUGCGUAGAGAUGUGGAGGAAUACCGAUGGCGAAGGCAGCCCCCUGGGCCAAUACUGACGCUCAUGCACGAAAGCGAGGGGAGCAAACAGGAUUAGAUACCCCCGUAGUCCCUGUCUCUUAUAC